GCCCUCUCUCUAAACAUAAGUAGAUGAAUAAUAUUUUUAAACAGCUGUGUGUGGUGCUGGGGGUCAGGCUGCAGUGCCAGAGCAGGAGCUUGUGCAUAACUGGGGCUGACUGCUCCUCGGCUGGUGGCCUUUUUAACCACGAGCAACAUGG